CAUGGACUCAGAUGCGACUGUGCGGCCGGGGCUGGCAGGAGGCGGAGCACAUGGAGGGGUAUGAUCAGGCCAUACCGGCACACCCACUCGAGCCCUGAGGCGGCCCGGCCCGCCCUAUGGCCAGUCCGGCCCUGAUCAGACAGUCAUGAUGAUUAUUAAGCUGUGCGGCCGGGGCUGGCAGGAGGCGGA